rnacentral:rRNA from 1 species
GAAACGACUGCUAAUACCGCAUAAGCGCACAGGACCGCAUGGUCUAGUGUGAAAAACUCCGGUGGUAUAGGAUGGACCCGCGUCUGAUUAGCUAGUUGGUGAGGUAACGGCUCACCAAGGCGACGAUCAGUAGCCGACCUGAGAGGGUGACCGGCCACAUUGGGACUGAGACACGGCCCAAACUCCUACGGGAGGCAGCAGUGGGGAAUAUUGCACAAUGGGCGAAAGCCUGAUGCAGCGACGCCGCGUGAACGAAGAAGUAUUUCGGUAUGUAAAGUUCUAUCAGCAGGGAAGAAAAAUGACGGUACCUGACUAAGAAGCUCCGGCUAAAUACGUGCCAGCAGCCGCGGUAAUACGUAUGGAGCAAGCGUUAUCCGGAUUUACUGGGUGUAAAGGGAGCGUAGGCGGUGGUUUAAGUCUGAUGUGAAAGCCCGGGGCUCCACUCCGGUAUUGCAUUGGAAACUGAAUCACUAGAGUGUCGGAGGGGUAAGUGGAAUUCCUAGUGUAGCGGUGAAAUGCGUAGAUAUUAGGAGGAACACCAGUGGCGAAGGCGGCUUACUGGACGAUUACUGACGCUGAG